UCACUGAAACUGUUGUUCAUAGUUGAGGUAUCUACCAGGAAAACCAUAAACAGGGAAAGCUAAUACAUUGUAUUCAUUCCUCUUGAAGACAGCUCCCAGGUCAGCCCUUCUAUUUUCACCUCUAUAAACUCUUUACCAACCAGCAUCUCUCUCAUCUCGCCUUGAGGAAAUAGGCCAAUGGAGAAUGGAAUAGCAAGAGGCAAGGUAAGUACAUUUCAAUUCUUUCUGAGAGGAAGACAUUUUUCUCAACAGGUCUGAUGGAGCAAUAAAUACUGGACAUCUGAGUGUUGGGCCAUGGGCAGAUCAGAGAACGUCCAGCUUAGGAAUGAGAUCCAUGAUGCUGAUAAACAGUCAUCACAAGCAGCAUCACACAGAAUUGCCGGAAGCAUACUGAUGGAGAACAGAAAGACCUAUCACCACCAGCCAGACCAACAAGAAGCAACAUGACCAAACCUGGAUGAUGGAUACUCAGGAGCAUGACUCAAAAGGGUACACUCACAGUCUCUGCCUCCUUAACCCUCCAAUUGUAUCUUCUUCCUACUAACUUCUAGUAAAUGACAUUGCUUCCUAUUUUAUCAAAAUGGCUAAAGCCAUCCUAAAAGUCCUUGU